UUCCGGUUGAUCCCGCCGGAGGUCACUGCUAUUGGAGUUCGACUAAGCCAUGCGAGUCGAGAGGGUUCGGCCCUCGGCGGACGGCUCAAUAACACGUGGAUAACCUACCCUCGGGACGGGGAUAACCCCGGGAAACUGGGGAUAAUACCCGAUAGGUGAGGCUGUCUGGAAUGAUUCCUCGCCCAAAUCCUGCGGGGCCCGAGGAUGAGUCUGCGGCCGAUUAGGUAGUUGGUGGUGUAACGGACCACCAAGUCGAAGAUCGGUACGGGCACUGAGAGGUGGAGCCCGGAGAUGGGGGCUGAGACACGGCCCCAGGCCCUACGGGGCGCAGCAGGCGCGAAAACUCCGCAAUUCGCGAAAGCGUGACGGGGGAACUCCAAGUGCUGCAGCGCAAGCUGUCAGCUUUUGCAGAGUGUAAAAAGCAGAGAGAGUAAGGGCUGGGUAAGACGGGUGCCAGCCGCCGCGGUAACACCGGCAGCUCGAGUGGUGAUCACUAUUAUUGGGCCUAAAGCGUCCGUAGCCGGUUUGAUAAGUCCUUGGGCAAAUCCUGUCGCUUAACGGCAGGAAUUCUGAGGAUACUGUCAGACUUGAGGCCGAGAGAGGUCGGAGGUACUCCUGGGGUAGCGGUGAAAUGCUAUAAUCNUAGGGGGACCACCAGUGGCGAAAGCGUCCGACCAGAGCGGGCCUGACGGUAAGGGACGAAAGCCAGGGGAGCGAACGGGAUUAGAUACCCCGGUAGUCCUGGCCGUAAACGCUGUGGGCUAGGUGUUGCAUGCUCUACGAGGG
rnacentral:rRNA from 1 species